AAUUAGUUUUUGUUAGUCAUAGAGUGUAUGAGUGAAUGGUAUUUAUAGAGUAAAAUUUUACUCUGAAUUUUUAUUUACUCCAUAUUCAACUAUAAAUUUAUCAAUUAAAAAUAAACAAUCAUCGUGUCAUGUUUACUCUGUGUCCUGUAGAAAAGGUGAAAAACCACUCUACAAUUUUACUCUUGGAUUUGUCAGAUAAAAUAUUUUAUUCUACUUUUCUAUUCUCUUUUCACUUCUUUUGUUUUACUCCAAAGUUGUAUAUUAAAAAUGGUAUUCAGUAUAUCUAUGGAAGGGAAAAGAGGUUGAUGCAUUUAUUAUCAUAGAACCCAAUGCAUUUGUUAUCAUAGAGCUGCAUUUAUGGGUCUUCAUUCAAAUAUUAUAAUUUUAAUUAAUUGAAAAAUUAAGUCCCAUUGAGAUAGUUGACAAAAAGGUCCCAUUGAGAUAUUAUAAAUUAGAUCAGAAUCUAGUCGUGUAUAUGAACCGAGAAAUAACCAAUAUUGAAAAGGUACAUAUGUUUUAUUUUCUUUUCUAUUUCUCUUUCCACUUCUUUUGUUUUACUCCAAAGUUGUUUAUUAAAAAUGGUAUUCAGUAAAUGUAGGAAGGAAACAGAGGUCGAUGCAUUUAUUAUCAUAAAACUUGAUGCAUUUAUUAUCAUAGAGCUGCAUUUAUGGGUCUUCGUUCAAAUAUUAUAAAUCUAAAUUAAUUGUGAAUUUAGGUCGCAUUGAGAUAGUUGACAAAUAAAAAGGUCCCAUUGAGAUAUUAUAAAUUAGAUCAGAAUCUAGUCAUGUAUAUGAACCGAGAAAUAAGCAAUAUUGAUAAGGUACAUAUAUUUAUAUAACCAAAAAUAAUCAUUAAUAUAAUUCAAGUCAGUUACUUUCAUCUGAAAAUAAUCAUGUAUACAAUUUACUUUCAAUAUUUCAUAUUCCAACUAUCUAAUUAUAUCUAAAUUUAUACUCAAAAUAAUUAAUAUAUUUAAUUUAUGAUUACUACAAAUACAAUUAUAAAUAAUAUUUUAAGAUAUAUAUAUGUAUAUAUAUACUUAUAUAUUUAUAUUUGAGAUAUUUUUGGAUAUUCAUUAGUUCUUGGGUUGAUAAGGUUUGAUACCGGUACAAGUUCUUAGGAUGAUAUAUCAAUAUAAGACUAGUUUAUUUAUGUUGGGUCAAAUCAGAUUCAGAACCUUAAUUGGAUUAGUUCCAACUCAAUUAUUUUUACAUAAAAAAAUCAGUCCAUUUAAAAUGCAUAUAUAAUUUAGGAUAUAUAUAUGUAAGUAACACUUUGUGAUUCUGGCUCUACCAGCUGUGAUUUUGGUACUAGGCUAAAAGCUAAGAAUGUGUGAUUUUGGAGUGAUAUUAAAGACUGAGGCUAAAAUGUUAAGUGGAUGGAUAUCCAAAAAGAGUAAGACUUCAUUGGGUUGACAAAAAAAAAGAGUAAGAGUUUUUUGUUCUUUUCCCCUUCUAACCCAAAACAUAUAGUAUAUCCCAAUGUGCCUCUGAUUAUGUGGCUUUAUCUGACACAUGUAUUUUCCACACUAAGAAAUUGUAUGUUACUUUUAUAUUUUGGAUAUUACAGACCAAAUAGCAGAAAAUAUGUCAAAAAAAAAAUUGAUCAACAUUCAAUAGCUUCUAAAAUUAUGAAUAUUUUUAUUGAAUAUUUUACUUAUUAAUCAGCUAAAAAUUGUAUAUAAUAUCAAGUUAAAAAUGUAGCACCAAAACAAGCUGACACGGCAUGCAAUCCAAGAUCAAUACAAAAGCAAACUAAAGAUUAGGAAUGAUCAACCAAAUAACUCCAUCCUUCGCAAUCGCUUUUAUCCAACGGCGAUGAAAAGGUAACAAGAGUCUUGAGCAAGGCCACGUCACCGUAUUAUAUGUUAGGUGAGAUAAUAAGAGAAGAAGUUGCAAAGAAUAAAAAGAAGCAGAUAUAGAAUAAUUUAGCAUAAGAUUUUUUUAUUAAUGUGUCGAGCUUUUUUUGUGCAUCAUAAAUCAAUUUCUCUUAUCGGAUCAGAUAUAUGACAAUCACUAUUUUUUAAAAAGGCAGUUCCAAUUGCUAAUUGCAAUUGUUCUGAUUUAAGAAAAGUUGUCUUAUUAACUUGAAAUAAUUAGUUUGGGAAAAUAUUUGAUUAAUCACAUAAUUUUGUGGACUUAUAGGAAAAAACAAAAAAAAAUGACUAAGUAAAAGUAGUUUGGAAGGGGUCUAGAAGUCAACCCUCUAAUUCUGAGUGUUUUGGACUCCUUUAAUUUCUAAUUAACCAGACAUUCCUUGGCAUUAGAUGUCAAAAUUUUUAUUUCUUGUGUUCAAACAAAUAAAAUGCUUCACUAACUUCUCAUCAGGUCAGAAUAAGUUAGUUUUAAAUAUGCUUGUGUAUUUUGGUUUAUAAUGUGCAUUUCUUAUGGUUCUAUUGAGUUUAUGAACGUCACUAGUGUUAGACUUAAACCCUUCUUUUGGUCUCAUGAUCUUAGAAUGUGUCAUAUCUUUUCGUUAGUCUAUAUUUGAUUGUGUAACCUCAUUAGAAUGGUGUAAGCGUGAGUUAUAUGUAGUUUCUUUUUCAUGUUUUCAUAUUUGAAAAUGUGAUUCUCUCGAAUAUAUUUUGAUAGUAAAUACACAAAAUGAUAAAUGUGGAUACUAACGUCUGUAUUGUUUAAUUAAACUAAGUAAGAAGUUUUAAUUUCAUAGCUUGUUAUAAUCAUAAUUUCGUUAUUGUUUAGUUUCUUUUACAAUUUCAGUUUUAGCUGAUUCAAUUUAUACAUUUUAUCAUUCUAAUUAUUUCCAUAUCUUGCAAUACCAAAAGUUCCAAAAGCUCCAAAGAGAAGCAUGCCACAUCAGCAUGGAAAUUCAGGUAAAUUAUAUGCUUUCAUUUUACCACAUCAGCUAUAUCAUUUUGUUUUUAAAUCUCCUUUUAAUAAUUGAGAUACAUAUGCCUUCUCCAUUUCUUCUCUUGCUGUUAAUGUAAAUUGUAAACCAAACGUCAAUUAACAACGGACAUAAUCUAGCUCAAUUAACCAAAUGUCAAUUAACAACCUCUGAAACAAUCAUACACAACCCCUUUCUCAAACAUCAAUUUCUUCUGGUUUACAUCUGAGGCAUAGUUCCAACGUGUCUUCCAGAACUUGCAAUCAACAACGGACAUUCCCUUUCUGGCUACUCCUUUUGCAGGCACCUUCGAUUUCAUGUCGAGAUGAUAUUGGUUACAAAAACUUAGCAGCUCCUCCAUGUCCGCUUCUUUGUUCCUCUCAUAAAUAACUUGAAGUUCUAGCUCCUCAGUAGAUAUUCAUGCUGCAAACUCAUCAUCAUGCCGCUUUCUCUCAGCUUCUGCUCUACUCUCCUCAACCUCAAGCUCAUCAUCAUGUUGCUUCCUCUCAUCUUCUGCUCUAGAAGAAGUUGCAAAGAAGAAGGAGAAGCAGAUAUAGGAUACUUUAGCAUAAGAUUUUUUAUUAAUGUGUCGAGCUUUUUUUGUGCAUCAUAAAUCAAUUUCUCUUAUUGGAUCAGAUAUAUGAUAAUUAUUAUUUAAAAAAAGGUAGUUCCAAUUGCUAAUUGCAUUUGUUCUGAUUUAAGAAAAUUUGUCUUAUUAACUUGAAAUAAUUAGUUUGGGAAAAUAUUUGAUUAAUCACAUAAUUUUGUGGACUUAUGGGAAAAAACAAAAAAAAAAUGACUAAGUAAAAGUAGUUUGGAAGGGGUCUAGAAGUCCACCAUCUAAUUCUGAGUGUUUUGGACUCCUUUAAUUUCUAAUCAACCAGACAUUCCUUGGCAUUAGAUGUCAAGAUUUUAUUUUUUUUGUGUUCAAACAAAUAAAAUGCUUCACUAACUUCUCAUCAGGUCAGAAUAAGUUAGUUUUAAAUAUGCUUGUGUAUUUUGGUUUAUAAUGUGCAUUUCUUAUGGUUCUAUUGAGUUUAUGAAAGUCACUAGUGUUAGACUUAAACUCUUCUUUUGGUCUCAUGAUCUUAGAAUGUGUCAUAUAUUUUCAUUAGUCUAUACUUGAUUGUGUAACCUCAUUAGAAUGGUGUAAGCGUGAGUGAUAUGUAGUUUCUUUUUCAUGUUUUCAUAUUUUGAAAAUGUGAUUCUCUCGAAUGUAUUAUUGUGAUAGUAAAUGCACAAAAUGGUAAAUGUGGAUACUAAUGUUUGUAUCAUUUAAUUAAAUUAAGUAAGAAGUUUUAAUUUCAUAGCUUGUUAUAAUCAUAAUUUCGUUAUUGUUUAGUUUCUCUUACAAUUUCAGUUUUAGCUGAUUCAGUUUAUACAUUUUAUCAUUCUAAUUAUUUUCAUAUCUUGCAAUACUAAAAGUUCCAAAAGCUCCAAAGAGAAGCAUGCCACAUCAGCAUGGAAAUUCAGGUAAAUUAUAUGCUUUUAUUUUACCACAUCAGCUAUAUCAUUUUGUUUUUAAAUCUCCUUUUAAUAAUUGAGAUACAUAUGCCUUAUCCAUUUCUUCUCUUGCUGUUAAUGUAAAUUGUAAACCAAACAUCAAUUAAUUUAUGGAACUAUGUAUUAACUUACUCUCUAAAUCUCUCCAAUGGUUUAUUUUCCUACUCCAUUCAUUUUGUUUUCUUCCUCACUCUAUUCGCCUUCUUAAAAAAUCACACCUUCCUCAUCAACUCCUGGAAAGCCACGGUUACCGGUCCUCCGCAGCAGAUAUCUUCUGCUAUAACCUAGAGAUUGGCCGCAGAUACCAACGACGCUGGAAACAGAGAUGUUAUUUUGUCCAUUUGCAUAGACUCUAUCGCGGAUUAUGUGCUGACAGGGUGUGUAAUCCCAAACGGGUCAAACCAAUCUUUACUAGCGGUUAUAUUUUCAGUAGGUUAUAUGAUAUUUGCCAAGGAUGAUGACUUUCACAAUCUGGCACAUAAACUUGAAGAUUUUGCUAGAAGUUUUAAAUCUCAAUUUCAAUCGCUGAAGGAAAACAGUUUCCAAGCUUUACUCGAUUUUCUCUUUUAGGCUUCAAUGAAAUCAGGUUUCUAGCAACAAUGGCAAUCGAGAAUCAAGAGAAGACAAUCCGCGUAAUCCAGCCUAAAAAGACAGUAAACAUGGUAUUUCAAACAACCUUUAUCUAGCAUGAUCUUUUUCUAUGUGCUAUGUUUGGUUUUAGCUUGAAGAAUCAGAACAAUGCACUUUUAAAAAUGUUUUCAUCUUGGAUUGACUCUGCAAGUAAUUUACUUUAUUUUGUGUCACGAAUUGGUUCAUUAUGCUUUUCUAUUACAUACCAAUCUUAUACUUUUGAACCCUCAGUAUUCCGGAGAAAUAGUGAGCAGGAAUUAUAACAUUUAUGGGGUUUAAUAUGAAGGCAAGAACAACAAAGCAUAAGAGAUAAUCUGGAAUAUUAAUUGGUGACUUUUCUGUGCACUAAUUAUGUCAGAUUUUCAACUACUAAACUGAGAUCUCUUAUGCAGAGAAAAGUUGGAAGGACUAUUUGGAAUCUCUUGGUCAUGGUCUUAUGUAUUUUCUUCUAGGAAGUUAUAUAUAUGCUUACAGCCUUACUUUACCCAAUAUUUAUAAGGGAGAAUUAGCAAAAAGAAACACUUUGAAUUUUUGUUUGUCUAAAUUGGAUUUUUCAUACAUUUGGUCAUUUUGGACAAGUUUUACCUUUUGGAAUUGAAAAAAUAGUAAACUAAGUUUUAAAAAUUGGGAAAAAUAUGUAAACCAUUGGAAACAUUAGCAUGACAAUUUAUAUAUUUAAAUUUUAUUUUUAAAAAUAGUGGACUUAUGUUUUAUUUAAUGUUCUAGCACGUAUAUAAUACUCAUUCUAGCCAUCUACCUAGUCUACAAAUCGUAUAGUAAGUAUUACACACAUAUUUAUCAUGGGUAGAGAAUACAAACAAACAUUUCUUCUAUAUUCUACUAGAGCUAGAUUAUGUCAACUAGUAUUCUAACAAGAUGUCUUUAGUCUACUUGUUCUUUUAUUACAACUUAUAACCUCGACUCUGUGAAAUACCUUUAUUUUUUUAUGUGUCAUAACCUUUUCUACCUUUUACGUUAUCAUACGCGUAGGGAAGAAUAAACCCCGUACCCUCUCUUUAAUCCUCUGCUAUACGUAGAAUACAUAUUAUAGGGAAAUCACAAAAAAUAUGGAAACUUCCCUAUUUCGAUAAAAAUCUUUCCUGAAUCUAAACUAAAUAUAUCAUAAAUCUCUCAUAGUAUCUUCUUUCAGAAAUAAAAAAAAAAAAAUCAUAAAACUGCUUUUUCCUUCACUCGAACCCGAGUUAUUUAAUAGAAAAAUACACACGCAAGCCACUAGACCACACAUAAUUUACACUACUUUGAUAUGUACACCAGUUUAUAUACUAUCAAGUAUAAUAAAAAUCUUAAAAUUGAUCCUUUAUUAAUCCACAAUCAAUUUCUGACUUUUGUAUAUUUUGAAUUUCAUAUGACAGGUCAAAAGUGCACGUUUGGAAGUUUAAAGCAAAAUCAUAAGGACAUUUUUGUAAAUUUAGAAGAUUGGGGCAAACAUUACACAGAAAAUUCAUGGACCAAAGCUGAAAAUAGGAAUACUGACUGGUCUAGAUUGAACAACUGAAAGUUUUGGAAUUGAUUUGAGGAGCAAUAUGUACAAACAGAAAGUUAUGGGACAAAUCCGUGAUUAGUCAAAAGUUUGAGGACCUGUCUUGCAAAAUUACCCAAACUUGCCAUUGUUGCUUUCCGAGAAGCUUUCCUUCGAUCCGCGACGGCAAGGGAUGAUUCCAAUGUAACAGAGACAGUGGAGUGAAGCAGAGAGCACGACGAGAUUGGAGCCUUCGGAUAUGAGACGGAGGAGCGACAUCACGAGUUGAAGCCGUGGAGGAAGCUUGGUCGCAGCGAUUGGAACAGAGCAUGACCACAAAAUUGACGAGACGAACAGAACAGAGCACGGUGGUGAGAAGCUAAAGAGGACGACCUCUGGUCGGGAUGAGCAAUAUCUCUUCAGUGGAUGUUUCAUUUCUUUAUGUUUUUCCUUUUUUCCUUUUUAAUAAAACUUAAAUCAAUUACAAAUUAUUAAUAUUAAUUAGGUUAAUUGAAGGGUAUAAUAGUAUUAAAGAGAAUAUAAGUCCUAAUUUCCUAAAUAAUCUUCUACGAGUUUUAUUGAGACAAAACUAAGUUAAAAGUGUUUCUUUUUUCCAAUUUUCUCUAUUAUUAUAAAUUAGAUCAUAAUCUAGUCAUGUAUAUGAACCGAGAAAUAACCAACAUUGAUAAGGUACAUAUAUUUAUAUAACCAAAAAUAAUCAAUAAUAUAAUUCAAGUCAGUUACUUUCAUCUGAAAGUAAUCAUGUAUACAAUUUACUUUCAAUAUUUCAUAUUCCAACUAUCUAAUUAUAUCUAAAUUUAUACUCAAAAUAAUUAAUAUAUUUAAUUUGUGAUUACUACAAAUACAAUUAUAAAUAAUAUUUUAAGAUAUAUCUAUCUAUAUAUAUAAAAUAGAGUUUCUCUCUCUCUUAGGCCAUCCACAUGGGAUGCCACGUCACUAAUUAAGAGCACCAGACGAAGACAUGUGUCAUAACUUAAAUGCGUUCUUAACUCAAUCUGUUGUGUUUCACCAUGGGCUUAAUAUUGAGUUGUCGAUUGAUAUUUUUCAGCCUUAAUUGAACGGUAGGCCAUUCAUCCUCAUCGUCUAAGAUUCUCCGUCGUAACUAAUAACACGAAAAAGUUCGUCAACGCCGAAGAAACGAUGAGUCUGUUCAUCUCACCGACUAACUGUUUCCCAGCAAUAUCUGUUGGAACCUUACACCGAGUGUCUCAUCAUACGAUUUCUGACUUACGGCUAAUGAAACUGGAGAACGUUACGGAAACCGGUUGAAUUGAGGCGUGGGCUUUAAUGUCCUCAUAAACAACAGCUCCCCACUCCUCCAUGAUUUGUCAUUGAAUGCAUUCUCUCCAUUAAUUCCAUUGUGUUAAUCUUCGAUUAUAAAAAGGUGAUUGACGGAAGGGGAGGGAUAGAGAUGGCUACAGGAGAAGAUCAAAUGCAAGGUUCGUCUGCGUCUAUUAAGUGUGAAAGAAAGAGUAAGGAUGACGUGGUAGAUUGGAAGUGUAUCAUUGAUGAAACAGUCAUAUACAUGAGCUAUCGUUCCGUUUUCGACCAUCCAAUAUACCCACUGCAUCUACAUUUGGUAAUACUUGCUUAUUUUUCCAGCUUCUUGAUCAAAUGUAAUCUUUGAUUUCAUAUGCCUUUAGAUAGAGUGUUUGGCCUUGCAAGUUGUAAGGAGGUGUACGAUCGAUCAAGGGGCGAAUGAAGUUGCUCUCUCUGUUGUUAGUGAGGUUCACUUUAAGGCAUGUUGCUUUAAAUGAUAGAGCUGAAGAAAGAUUUAACAGUUAAGGUACAAGCUUUUCAUUUCAUAAACAUUGUGCUUGCAUUCGCUGAUGGAAAGCUUUAUUUUCUUUUGGUUAUUGUAAUCUGACGGCUGGGGUUCACGUUUGGUUUUAAACAUGUUCAUGACAUCACAUUAACACUUUUUCACUGACACUUUGAGAAAGAUCCAUAAAAGAAGGUAACAUGGCUCAGACUUCCAGGUACAUACCUAUUGUCGAGUGUCUCUUUAGCUAAGAUGCAGCAGAAUGCAUACUUGCAGGUACAUACACUAUUUUAAUCAUUCAUGCUCAUCUGUUAAUUUUCAUUUGUUGAGGUACUUACCAACCAAGAAAGCCAUGAAUGAAACUUAAAUCUGGAUUUGUACCUUGCAGAAGAAUGUGGAUCCUCAACGUCACAUGACGUAGCUUAAGCAGUGAUAUACUUAGGAGGAUCCAUUGUGGUAUUUAAAGGUUAGAAUGCUGCAAUUUACCAUUGUGGCAUAUGGACAGUGAGAUAUGGAAGUGAUUCGGAUAGGGAACAAUGCCACCAUUCUUAUUUUCCUGUUCAUAGGAGUGUGUAUUGAAGAAACAAGCACUCCAUUAGAUUUAAUAACACAAUUUGCAAGUACACAUACACACCAUCUAUACACAAAGUAGAUGUCUGAUUAUGAGUUUGUGUGACAUUGAAAUGAACAGUUGAGAUGAUGUGUGGAAAAUAAUAACCAACGAGUUUUUAAAUUUCAAAUUUCUGUGUAACACUUCGAAUUUAUCUUGGGUAAGAAAUAUAUAAUAGAUAUUAAAAGAAUAUUAUUAUGACUUUUCUUCUUAUCUUUUCGUUGAAUGAAACAAAAAAAGUGGACAUGAUUCUUAAGAAUGAGCCAUUCAUAUGAUAAUUACACCAUACACUACUAUAGAUUUCAAUUGCGAUUUGCGACAACCCUUGCAGUCAGUGCCGGCUUAGCACAUGUGCUCAAGGCACAUUUGCACAGGGUCCUUUGUUUUUCUUUAAAAAAGUUAGGGCCCUAUUUGCUAAAAACUAUAAAUAUUAGGGUCCUAAUUUUCAGAGUUACUGCAAUAUAGCUAAAGUUUGGGUUUUUUUUUUAAUUUAGCACAAGGUCUUAGCAGUAUUUGGGCCGGGCCUGCUUGCAGUGAUAUGUCGGGAGGCGGGAGGCACAUGUGUUUCUUCCUAGAGUAAGUGGGGGUUAUUGGUUGUGGUAUUUGCUUGGAUUUAGAUUUUUUUUUAGAUUUGAAAAUCUUUGAUAAAUUCAUUGAUUUUAAAAUCAAAAUAACUGGAUUUCACAAAAAUUCAGAUGGAUGUCAAAAUCAAAUAAGUAGAUUAUUAUAAAUCAGCCAUAUGAAUUUAAAAGAGUUGUGACAGGCUCGUGAAAUAUUUUUCUUCUUAAAAGAAAUACUUUGAUACAUGUACUUCAACAUGAGUACUGCCCAAAGGACUCGAAAGAAAACCAUUAUUUGCUUCAUUUCUAUCAAUUGCCGCAUAAAAUCUGACUUUUCCAAUGAUCCAGAAAACAGUUUCGUCUAUGCGAAGAGAUUUAUUGGUUGGAGUCAAAGCAGGUUUUCGAUAGAUUUGUCAAGUAUGAAGACAAGUACGUCAAGCUUGAGUAUCCUCCAAUUAACUAACAAUUUUCCGUUGAGGCAUCGCUAAGAAAAAGCUAACCCUUACGUUAAGUCAACACGUUCUUGUAUGAAUUCCAUUGAGAAUUAACUCACAGAGAGAUGCAAAUUUCAGUUUCAAUAAUAUUUGACAAAGACUUGUCGCAGACGCUGCACUUGCAGCUCAAUGACGACUUCUCAGCUACUGCCGUCACCAGAGGAAGAAGAAAAAGCUGACGAUUGCCGUAGCGAUAGAGGAGCAUAAGGCAGAAAGCGAGAUACUCGUCUUCAGUGAGUUUCUGGUGGUGGAAAUCGGAUCUUCAACGUUUGGAUCUUUUACCUUUGGUCAAGCGUUCGUCGCCAUGGAAUCUUGAAGUCUUUGAACAGAGGAGGAACCAGUCAACCAGAGAAGCUAGUCUCGGUGAGCUGAGAGCCGCGAGCACCAUUAAAAACUGAUCUUUCUGAAAACAAAGGAGAACUUGAGUUUCUUAUGUUUUUAUUGUUGUGGAGAGGAAGUUCUGUGACAAGUGGUGGGAAAGUGUGAAAAUGCUAUGGGGCAUUUCUAUCUGUAAUGUUACGGUAAAUCUGGAUGAGGUUGUAGCUCUAGGUGAUGUGGUUCGGGUUUGUUCUCGUGCACAUGUAUAAUCUGUUAUUUUAUGAAAUUUGAAGAUCAUAAGCCAAUAAUACAAAUCCAAUCAAAAUAAGAGGGUUAACCUCUAUAUUUGUUCCUUUGUAUUUCGAUCUUAAAAUCGCUCACAAAUCCAUUGAAAUACAAUUCUAAAUCAAAUUUUUUAACAAAUUUUUAUAAUUGAAUAACACUUGAUUUCAAAAUUUAUUUUAAAAUCACAAAACCAAUAACACUAGAUUUGAAUAUAGAUUUUAAAAUCAUAAAACCAAUAACACUAGAUUUGAAUAAGAAUUUUAAAAUCAUAAAACCAAUAACACUAGAUUUGGUUUGAAUUUAAAAAUCCAUUAAAAUAUACAAACCAAUAACACCCUCUAAGUUUAUCACCGCAGAUGUUCAGGUUGCUUUAGGCGGAUGCACUGUUGAGGAAGGACCAGUGCCAACAACGGAGCAUACAGUCAAGAAGGCACGCAAUGAUUAAUUUCUCAAGUUCGUGGGUUUAUGAUACUGCUAUUUGCAAAUAAUCAGCCACUUUUCGCCUUACAUAUUCACAUCACGAACUCCAAAAUGUUACUAAUAGCUAAAUAAUUAAGAUCCUCAUUACAUAAACAAAGACAGACUGGACCAAAGAAAUCGUUUUUUGUUCACUGAAUAUAAAUAGUAAACCAACUCUCAAUACAAAUUGGGAACCAAGAUGUUGCCGUAAACAUUCUUUGCUCAACAAACACGAAAUUUAUUACACAUUUGUAAACACUCUUUUCCUAUUUUUUUCAGAAACUUUUAUCUAUUUUCAGCACUUUAAAUACAAUUUUCCUUAAAUAAGCUUAUAAAUAUAUAAAACAUUUGAUUUCAAAAAAUUCUCUUUAGAAACUAAUUAUACAUGUCUUUUUCUAUUAAAUAUUUAAAUGGAUAUUUUUAAUAAAUUAAAAUAGCCUUUUUAUUAAAAAUCUAAAUGAACAGUAUAUUUAAUAAAUUUAUAUUCCUAAUAUUUCAAAUAAGAAUUUACUUUUUAAGUAAAUAUAAAUUCAGUCACAAACGUCAUCAUCAUCUACAUCUACAUAUACAUCUAUAUGUAUGCUAAGUUAUUUAAAUUUAAAUAUGUGUUUAAAAUAAAAAUAAAAAUAUAUAAUAAAGAAAGAAAUAAUUGUAUUCAAUAACAAAACACAACAAAUAUAAUAAAAUAUGUAAUAAGAUAUUGUAAGGAUUAUACAUUAUAAGUUAGCCAGUAAGAUUUAUUCCAAAUAACACGAUUAACUUUGUUUCCAUAUAUGAUAACACAUAAGAUUCUACAAAGAUGUAUAUAUAUAUAUCCAUUCUCAAAAAAAAAACACGUAAAUA